GGUGGUAUAGCCAAGCGGUAAGGCAGUGCAUUGCAAAUGCUCUAUCCCCAGUUCGAAUCUGGGUACUACCU
rnacentral:tRNA from 1 species